AUUGAACGCUGGCGGCAGGCCUAACACAUGCAGGUCGAGCGGAUGAAGGGAGCUUGCUCCUGGAUUCAGCGGCGGACGGGUGAGUAAUGCCUAGGAAUCUGCCUGGUAGUGGGGGAUAACGUCCGGAAACGGGCGCUAAUACCGCAUACGUCCUGAGGGAGAAAGUGGGGGAUCUUCGGACCUCACGCUAUCAGAUGAGCCUAGGUCGGAUUAGCUAGUUGGUGGGGUAAAGGCCUACCAAGGCGACGAUCCGUAACUGGUCUGAGAGGAUGAUCAGUCACACUGGAACUGAGACACGGUCCAGACUCCUACGGGAGGCAGCAGUGGGGAAUAUUGGACAAUGGGCGAAAGCCUGAUCCAGCCAUGCCGCGUGUGUGAAGAAGGUCUUCGGAUUGUAAAGCACUUUAAGUUGGGAGGAAGGGCAGUAAGUUAAUACCUGGCUGUUUUGACGUUACCAACAGAAUAAGCACCGGCUAACUUCGU
rnacentral:rRNA from 1 species